rnacentral:rRNA from 1 species
UGAGCAAUCUGCCCUUCUCUUCGGAAUAAGCGUUGGAAACGACGUCUAAUGCCGAAUACGACCUCCUUUCGCAUGAUCGGAGGUGGAAAGCUCCGGCGGAGAAGGAUGAGCUCGCGGCCUAUCAGCUUGUUGGUGGGGUAACGGCCCACCAAGGCGACGACGGGUAGCCGGCCUGAGAGGGCGACCGGCCACACUGGGACUGAGACACGGCCCAGACUCCUACGGGAGGCAGNAGGU